UCGGCGGCGCCCUAGCGGCUCAGUCAGUGUCUGGCCACGCGAGAGCGAGGCUUUAUUCGCGGCCGAUUUGACGGCUACAUCGCUAUCCUUACACACACAUCGCAAGUUCUGAAUACAACAUUGCAGCCGCUCAUAUUUACAAACUGUUAAGACCUCUCACCAUCGCUCAUUCUCCUGCGCCGAGGCCGGCUUCGAACUUGACCCGCGAUUGUUUGUUCGAACUGUCAGUGCGCGUGUUGUGCUGUAGCGAUAAUAUAACCUGUAUGACUUCAAGGGCACAGGCGACUUAGUUGUGCUUUGGAUGCGGUGAUAUAGAUGAAUUUUAGCUUUAUUCUAAUCUCGUAUCUCUUGUUAAAUGUAAGUGGGCGUAUUCGAAAGUUUAAAAAUCGAUCGUCGUGACGUGCGUGGGAUUGCGUUUACGUAAUCUUUGUUUACCUUGGGGAUAUGCACCGUGCGAGCUCCCACUGUGAUACACGUUGAUAAGGCCCCAGUGACAUCUUUCAUUCUAGUUGGCAUCGCAUAGGUAACUGAAGAAGUUCAAGACAAAUUAUGAUUUGUGAAACAAAUUAUGCCUGACUCGACGAAAGAGCUCCGUGUACCAACGAUACAAAACAACGAUUAACUGGUUUCUAAAAGA